UACGGAGGGAGCAAGCGUUAUCCGGAUUCACUGGGUUUAAAGGGAGCGUAGGCGGGCAGGUAAGUCAGUGGUGAAAUCUCCAAGCUUAACUUGGAAACUGCCGUUGAUACUAUCGGUCUUGAAUAUUGUGGAGGUGAGCGGAAUAUGUCAUGUAGCGGUGAAAUGCUUAGAUAUGACAUAGAACAUCAAUUGCGAAGGCAGCUCACUACACAGCCAUUGACGCUGAGGCACGAAAGCGUGGGGAUCAAACAGG
rnacentral:rRNA from 1 species